UCGCCUGGGCUCGGCUCCGGCGCACGGACCCUGGCUCCGGCCCGUCAGCCAGCCGCUAGUGGGGUCUCUUCAUUUUCUCCCCAUCCUCGUGUCUGAUGGGAAAGUUAAGGUGAAGCGAUCUCCGGAGACGAAGCACCUGCGGCCGAACCCCGCGGUGCGGGCGCGUGGAGGGUGCGGCGGGGGUGAGGGCCGAGCUGCAGGGGCGGCCGGCCGGCGGAGGGCAGCGUCCUGCGGCUGCAGAGAGGAGGCACACGCGUCCAAUGGAGGAUUGAGAAUGCCCAGGAAACCAGCCAGGGAGAGAUACUGAAACCAAAGCAAAGCGACCAAAGCAAAGGACCGGAGAGGAACUGAUGGGCUAAAAAGAAAAAGCCGAAGGGUUCUUGGGAUGCACUUACAGCAUAAAGAAGUUCC